rnacentral:rRNA from 1 species
UCCGUAGGCGGUGCGGCAAGUCGGAAGUGAAAUCUCAGGGCUUAACCCUGAGGCUGCUUCCGAAACUGCCGUGCUGGAGUGCGAGAGAGGCGAGUGGAAUUGCAGGUGUAGCGGUGAAAUGCGUAGAUAUCUGCAGGAACAUCCGAGGCGAAAGCGGCUCGUUGGAUCGCAACUGACGCUGAGGGACGAAAGCUAGGGGAGCAAACAGGAUUAGAUACCCUGGUAGUCCUAGCCCUAAACGAUCAGGACUGGGCGUGGGCCUCGUACGGGGCUCGUGCCGCAGCUAACGCGUUAAGUCCUGCGCCUGGGGAGUACGGUCGCAAGGCUGAA